rnacentral:rRNA from 1 species
GUGCCAGCCGCCGCGGUAAUUCCAGCUCCAAUAGCGUAUAUUAAAGUUGUUGCAGUUAAAAAGCUCGUAGUUGAAACUUGGGCCUGGCUGGCGGGUCCGCCUCACCGCGUGCACUCGUCCGGCCGGGCCUUCCUUCUGAAGAACCUCAUGCCCUUCACUGGGCGUGCUGGGGAAUCAGGACUUUUACUUUGAAAAAAUUAGAGUGUUCAAAGCAGGCCUUUGCUCGAAUACGUUAGCAUGGAAUAAUAAAAUAGGGCGUGCGUUUCUAUUUUGUUGGUUUCUAGAGACGCCGCAAUGAUUAACAGGAACAGUCGGGGGCAUCAGUAUUCAGUUGUCAGAGGUGAAAUUCUUGGAUUUACUGAAGACUAACUACUGCGAAAGCAUUUGCCAAGGAUGUUUUCAUUAAUCAGUGAACGAAAGCUAGGGGAUCGAAGACGAUCAGAUACCGUCGUAGUCUUAACCGUAAACUAUGCCGACUAGGGAUCGGGCGAUGUUCUUUUUCUGACUCGCUCGGCACCUUACGAGAAAUCAAAGUUUUUGGGUUCUGGGGGGAUUAUGGUCGCAAGGCUGAAACUUAAAGAAAUUGACGGAAGGUCACCACCAGGCGUGGAGCCUGCGGCUUAAUUUGACUCAACACGGGGAAACUCACCAGGUCCAGAUGAAAUAAGGAUUGACAGAUUGAGAGCUCUUUCUUGAUUUUUCAGGUGGUGUGCAUGGCCGUUCUUAGUUCGUGGGGUGACUUGUCUGCUUAAUUGCGAUAACGAGCGAAGACCUUACUCUGCUAAAUAAG